AGUGGCGAACGGUUGAGUAACACGUAGACAACCUGCCCGGAAGUGGGGGAUAACAGCGGGAAACUGCUGCUAAUACCGCAUGUGGUGGGGAGAGGCCUCUCUCCUCGACUAAAGGAGCAAUCCGCUUCGGGAUGGGUCUGCGGCCUAUCAGCUGGUUGGUGGGGUAACGGCCUACCAAGGCGACGACGGGUAGCUGGUCUGAGAGGAUGAUCAGCCAGACGGGGACUGAGACACGGCCCCGACUCCUUCGGGAGGCAGCAAUGAGGAAUCUUGCGCAAUGGGGGAAACCCUGACGCAGCGACGCCGCGUGGGUGAGGAAGUCCUUCGGGAUGUAAAGCCCUUUUGUUGGGGACGAGAGUGGACGGUACCCAACGAAUAAGCCCCGGCUAACUACGUGCCAGCAGCCGCGGUAAUACGUAGGGGGCAAGCGUUGUCCGGAUUUACUGGGCGUAAAGCGCGCGUAGGCGGAACGUUAUGUCUGGCCUGAAAGCCCCCGGCUCAACCGGGGAGGGUGGCUGGAAACUGGCGUUCUUGAGGGCGUUAGAGGAGAGUGGAAUUCCAGGUGUAGCGGUGAAAUGCGUAGAGAUCUGGAGGAAUACCGAUGGCGAAGGCAGCCAUCUGGCCUAAUACUGACGCUGAGGUACGAAAGCAUGGGGAGCAAACAGGAUUAGAUACCCUGGUAGUCCAUGCCGUAAACGAUGUCUACUAGCCGUUGGGG
rnacentral:rRNA from 2 species